CUUUUUGUAAAAUAUUAUAACAGACAUGGGCGUACGGGAAGGAAAAAAUUAGGGGGGCGGAAAGAAAUUUGCCCGACUUUUUCGGGCAACUUUCCAAAAUUGUUGUCGACGGGAGGCAGGAGUGAUUAAAAUUGACAGAAUUUCCCACAAAAUUGACAGAAUUUGUCCCAUUUAUUUUUAUAAUAAGCCAAUAUUGCCCGACUGUGAAGCGAAUAUUGCCCGACUGGCUUUGUUUGCCCAACAAACGGGGGGGUGGUGGCUGCCGCCCCCUCCGCCCCCC